CCGCACGCGCGCUACACUGACAGAGCCAACGAGUUAUUCACCUUGGCCGGAAGGUCUGGGUAAUCUUGUUAAACUCUGUCGUGCUGGGGAUAGAGCAUUGCAAUUAUUGCUCUUCAACGAGGAAUGCCUAGUAAGCGCAUGUCAUCAGCAUGCGUUGAUUACGU
rnacentral:rRNA from 1 species